ensembl:lncRNA
AUUUCAUAUGAGAACAAAAGAACCAUCUCCUUAGUCUCUUGUCUCUUACCUUUCAAAAGGGCUACAAGUACUUACCUCUUUUUUUCUUUUUAAGCAGACCUUCUUGCUGGUGAUUUAAUUACCAUCUCACUGAACUCUCCUUGGUGCAUCUCUUGAACUUACAGUGCAUCACAUGAGAAAAAUCAACUCCUUAAUCUGGCCCAGGUCUGUGUGAGCGCUUACGUGGUACUAUUGAGAAGAAGGAACAAGAAGAUGAAUGAGGCAGGACUGCAUCUUUAAUGGAAGUUACUAUGAAACAAAUUACAGACAUGGAGGUGAGACUACUGCAAAAACCAUGAGCCAAGGCUUUUCAUCUUUGCAGCAAGUGAAUUCCCACUGGUGGACCGUCUUCUUCCUGUGUACUUGUCAUUCAACAUUUUGUUGGCAACUUUGGCAAAAUCUUGUAACAAAACAACUGUACAAAAACCAUCUUUGAACUGCAUAUUUAAGAAAAUAAUAUUUUCAAUAUUGUUAUUACAAUAAUUUAUUUUACAGUUCUAAACGAUAGUGAUGGUUAACUUUUUUCCUGCAUCAAUUAUUUCCUUGUUUUUUACUCUUGAAAUCCUUGGGAAUUAUAUUCUAGUGACAUCUGUUAACACUGUUGAACUUAACAUGUAAUUAGUAAGGGGGAAAAAAAAAAGAAAAUAGAAAACAAAAGCCCAUGCCAAUCUAAAUAUACUUGAAAGGUGCCAGAUUGAUAACUCUGGAGAAUUGAGUCCUCUGUUUAUCCUCUGAAUUAGCAGAGGAAAAUCAAUGGCAGCAUAAACUUGCUCAUGUCGCCCUGAAAUGUCUUGUGUUCGCUCAGCUGUGAGAGUAGCCCAGGUUUCAUAUUGCCUGCAGUCUUUAGGAUCCCAGUAGGAAUCAUAUGAAGGAUGUUGUCCUGUGGUGGAAGAACUGCACUGAGAAUGCGAAACUUCUAUCAGAUAAACUUCUGACCAUCCAUCCAAGGUCAAGCUUUGCAGCUCCAGCAUAGAUUACAAAUGGUGAUUUUGAAUUAAAAGGCUUUGUAGUCCAUUCUCAUUCUUCUAUCUAUCUGAUCCCCCGGUGUGUUUUAUUUAAUGCAUAAGCUUCCAUUGACAUGACAGAGCCAGAGGCAUUACAAUCUAUCAUGUCAAGACUUCGUACAUUAGCAGUUCUUGUUAGCACGCAUUGGCACAAUACACUGUAAUAGUUCUGAAUUAUACUAAUGAUCCAUGGAUAAUGGGUCACAGGGAGAUUUUUGAACCAUACCUUUAAACCAAUGCCACAGAGCUUUUAGGAUGUGUCAAAGAGCAUGGAGGCUUGGCACUAUAACAUGCUUUAAUGCAUCUUCAGAGCACCUUAUCUUGUGUGCUUUGCUUUAAUUGAGAUUAAAUGGCUUUGAAGGACCUAACACAAUUUCAAGGACAAUGCAAUAUCUCAUAUUCUCAGUGAAAGGUUUCAAAUGUAUUUCCUUAAAGCUGAGACAAAUAUUCCAUACAAACACAUUAUACCAAACUGAUGUUAAAGGUCUGACUCAAACUUAGAGGAGCCAACACAAUUAGAAUUAAAAGCAUGGCAUACUAUUCCUGAGGCUGUGACUAGGAUGGGGAUGAGAGAAUUGCAUGGGAUCUUGGGUUAUGCCAGAGCACCAAAUAGCAAAAUAGUAAUGGAAGCAAUAAUCUGGAAAGGAGACUACUUUCAUUUUUUAGGCACCUAGAUACUGUUGAAAGGAACAUCUAAUUUGGGCCAGGAAAAAAUGAUGACAAUAUUCUUCUGGAGAUGUAUGCUCUGAAUAUUUCACAUGAUAUCAGGGCAGGAACAGAACUAUCAUGGAAGUUAAGUGUAGUUUGUACUUGAGUCUUUAAUACGUUCCUGUAACAGUGAUUUAAAAUAAAAAAAGAUUCAGCCCCCA